ACCACAACCUAUGUGGAGUCUACUCUCUCCACCUCUAUAUAUUUCUACUCAAGAUAAUCAUGUAUAUCCCUGCUCUAUAUAUGUGCUUGACUUUUGGUGAGAUUUUAGCUCCUUAGCAAGGGUUAUGGGGCCAUCAUCUUUGUAAUAUAGUGUCAUGACAUCCGAUGGUAUGACGUCUAGUUCUCCAACUAUCAUAAGAAUUAG
rnacentral:lncRNA from 1 species